GCACUUUGGAAAGUGCUGGUUGGAGGGCCCGGUUGAGGAGAGGAAGAAGGGAAGCGGGAACCCCAUCGGCCUUGCCCCAAACUCCCACGGCAGCCCUGCGGGGUUCCACGGCACUGCCUUGGGGGAGCACAGUGUGCGAACCAGCCACCGGACCCCCAGACGAAGGACGAGGAGCCUAAGGCCCUCCAGCUAGCACAGGGUCAGGGCGCUCACGCGCUAGGGCCACGGACUGGCCCAUCAUCAUGGAGUCACCGUUGGCAGGACCCCGGCGAGUCUGAUGUGCCCCGCGGCGGUGCCUCCCCCCGAGAGGACGGGCAUCAGCACCCCCACGCGUGCCACCCCCGCUCCACCCCCAUCUCUGGAUGGUACCCAGCCCAUCAUGCCAACCGGAAGGUGUUCCAAGCCAACUCUCAACACAACAAGAAAGCAGCCGGUUCGCCCCUGAAGCCUCUCCUCCUGCUUUUCCCCGAGCUGCAGAGCUCGCUUGCAGGGAGCGUCGCUAACCAGGUCACAGCACAAGGUUUACAAUCACAACAGUCUCGGCUCUACUACUUGUUGGCUCUCGGAUCAUUGACACAUUGCACAACCCCCUGCCUGCUAGUGUCCUCAGCCACACAGUCAGUGCACUCGUGAUCCGUGUCCGCGUGUCACAUGAGGACAUUGACCACGGUCUCUGUCGGGAGCCCACUCGCGCCCUGAGUGCAGUGGCAGCUGCUCAGCACCUGCGACCCUUCAUGCUGUCCCUCCGUCCCCUCUCUGGAGUCCCUGAGUUUAUCCGCUCUUCCUCCCUGUUACCUGCUGUUCCUUAUUCUCCGAUAUCUUGGCGGCCUGAUCCUCCUGCAGUGUGCUCCUCCGACAGCGCGCUCCUCCAUCCCGGGCCAAGGCAAACACUCCGUGACCGAGGGCCCUGGCUUCUAGCUGCUCCCCGGUCGUCCUACCCUGUCACCAUUCUAGACUUUCAAAUGGCUCCUCGGCAUCUACUGGUUAAAAGACCAGUGCCCCACCAGGUCAGUGAGUGCAUCCCAGAACUCAGGCAACAGUUACUCCCAAUCUCCUCAAUCCACAGUCUUCCUCACAACGACUGGCUCCCAGGAAACCAAUGCUUUGUGGCCCUUGAAGUCAGAGAGGGAUGUAGCACUCACGAGUCAUGGACUGCCAGCAGGAGCACACUGCCCUGAGGAGGUAAGUGCUCCAGACCAAAGUCCA
rnacentral:lncRNA from 1 species